UGGGUAACCUGCCUCAAAGAGGGGAAUAGCCUCCCGAAAGGGAGAUUAAUACCGCAUAAUAUGUUUAAGUCGCAUGACUUUAACAUCAAAGGAUUUUCUUUUAGAACUUCCACUUUGAGAUGGACCCGCGGCGCAUUAGCUAGUUGGUGAGGUAACGGCUCACCAAGGCAACGAUGCGUAGCCGACCUGAGAGGGUGAUCGGCCACAUUGGAACUGAGACACGGUCCAGACUCCUACGGGAGCAG
rnacentral:rRNA from 1 species